rnacentral:rRNA from 1 species
GAUGAACGCUGGCGGCGUGCCUAAUACAUGCAAGUCGAGCGAACGGACGAGAAGCUUGCUUCUCUGAUGUUAGCGGCGGACGGGUGAGUAACACGUGGAUAACCUACCUAUAAGACUGGGAUAACUUCGGGAAACCGGAGCUAAUACCGGAUAAUAUUUUGAACCGCAUGGUUCAAAAGUGAAAGACGGUCUUGCUGUCACUUAUAGAUGGAUCCGCGCUGCAUUAGCUAGUUGGUAAGGUAACGGCUUACCAAGGCAACGAUGCAUAGCCGACCUGAGCGGGUGAUCGGCCACACUGGAACUGAGACACGGUCCAGACUCCUACGGGAGGCAGCAGUAGGGAAUCUUCCGCAAUGGGCGAAAGCCUGACGGAGCAACGCCGCGUGAGUGAUGAAGGUCUUCGGAUCGUAAAACUCUGUUAUUAGGGAAGAACAUAUGUGUAAGUAACUGUGCACAUCUUGACGGUACCUAAUCAGAAAGCCACGGCUAACUACGUG